GAUGAAGAACGUAGCGAAAUGCGAUAAGUAAUGUGAAUUGCAGAAUUCAGUGAAUCAUCGAAUCUUUGAACGCACAUUGCGCCCGCCAGCAUUCUGGCGGGCAUGCCUGUUCGAGCGUCAUUUCAACCCUCGAGCCCCCCCGGGGGCCUCGGUGUUGGGGGACGGCACACCAGCCGCCCCCGAAAUGCAGUGGCGACCCCGCCGCAGCCUCCCCUGCGUAGUAGCACACACCUCGCACCGGAGCGCGGAGGCGGUCACGCCGUAAAACGCCCAACUUUCUUAGAGUUGACCGCGGAUCAGGUAGGAAUACCCGCUGAACUUAAGCAUAUCAAUAAGCGGAGGA
rnacentral:misc_RNA from 1 species